GAUGAACGCUGGCGGCGUGCCUAAUACAUGCAAGUCGAGCGAACGGACGAGAAGCUUGCUUCUCUGAUGUUAGCGGCGGACGGGUGAGUAACACGUGGAUAACCUACCUAUAAGACUGGGAUAACUUCGGGAAACCGGAGCUAAUACCGGAUAAUAUUUUGAACCGCAUGGUUCAAAAGUGAAAGACGGUCUUGCUGUCACUUAUAGAUGGAUCCGCGCUGCAUUAGCUAGUUGGUAAGGUAACGGCUUACCAAGGCAACGAUGCAUAGCCGACCUGAGAGGGGGAUGGCCCCACCGGGACGUGGAGACCGGCCCAGGCCCCUAGGGGGGGCGCAGGAGGGGAUUUUGCGCAAUGGGGGGAAACCUUGCGGAGCAACGCCGCGUGAGUGAUGAAGGUCUUCGGAUCGUAAAACUCUGUUAUUAGGGAAGAACAUAUGUGUAAGUAACUGUGCACAUCAUGACGGUACCUAAUCAGAAAGCCACGGCUAACUACGUG
rnacentral:rRNA from 1 species